UACGUAGGGCGCGAGCGUUGUCCGGAAUUAUUGGGCGUAAAGAGCUCGUAGGUGGCUUGUUGCGUCUGCCGUGAAAGCCCGUGGCUUAACUACGGGUCUGCGGUGGAUACGGGCAGGCUAGAGGCUGGUAGGGGCAAGCGGAAUUCCUGGUGUAGCGGUGAAAUGCGCAGAUAUCAGGAGGAACACCGGUGGCGAAGGCGGCAUCCUGGACCGGCAUUGACGCUGAGGCGCGAAAGCCAGGGGAGCAAACGGG
rnacentral:rRNA from 1 species